CCGCCCAACUAGCCUACGGCAACGACCCGCCCACCUCAGGCCCCGCCUACCCCUCGACUCUACUGCCGCGGCGAUAGGAAGGCCCGGCGCGCCGGAAAGAGAGAAUUAUUCUUUCAGAAUCUUCUCUACUCCUUGCACUUCAACCAGCACUAGGCUGAGACGAAGAUGUGAUUUGCCUUCCAAGAGGGCAUGUUUGCUGUUGAGCCUGUGAAGUCAUCACCCUCAAAUUAAUUCAGUGGCUUGAAACCACAUUUCAAUAGCACUGUGAGGCUCCAACAACACUCCCAUUGUUAUCUGGCCCCACACAUGGAGCCACUGCCGCUUUGACUGGAUCCCUUCAUCUCCACCAGCUUGUUUGUUCUCUACUAUCCCUUUAUAAUCUCCAAGACAGCGGUUGGGCGCGUGACCUUCAAGUGUUCAAAGCAGAUUACUAUUGACGCCUGCCUUUAAGACAUUAUGUAUCAGGUGAUGACUUAUUUGAUGUGACUGAGUCUUUGAUCAGAAUGCAAUUCCAAGUUUAAUGUUGUUCCCACAGAUAUGCAACUAACUGCUCUGCCAUGACCUGAGUUAAGACCAAUGGCCGAUUGUACCCUGUGUAGACAGCUGGAAUGUAUAAUCCAACUUGAGCACCAUUGACCUUAUUGAAGCCCACACAACUGAGAAGAUAAUCUCAGAAAAAUAGAGUAUAAAUUGCCAAAUCAGAUAGCUGUACAAUCAAUGAUGAAUAUAUUUCAACCAAGCUUAUGUGUUGAAUGACUAAUAAGAUGCUAAAUGGCCAGAGAAAUUUCCGUGAUUUUACUGAUUUAAUGACACUGCAGUGAAAGAAAUGGAACAGCCAAAAGAUACUUCCUCCACCUACCCCAGCCCCAAGAAUUCUCUGUAAGGAAUUUCAGAGUAAACUUUUCUAAAUACUAAGUGGAGAGUAAAAUUCUUUGUAGAGUUGUUUUCAUAACUAUAAAGCAUUUGAGCACCUAGUUACCCACUAGUAGAAACAUUCACUUUAAAAAAUCCUGGUGAUAUUUGGUGUCAUUAUAUAAUGGAAGAUUAGAUACACAUAUGGAGUGUAUCUAGUUCAAUUAACUGCCAAGUGUGAGAAAAUUUGUUAGCUCAAUGUCUGGCUCUCUUGUAGAAACCAAGAGAUAGCACCUCAUGGUACCAUUGUAACAGGGAGCGCAAGGUGAUGCCCAAACCCAGCUCCUGCCUCGCAAUCUCUAGUUAAAUAACCAGUAGCCUGACUCGAGUAAGACCAGGGAUUAUCAGGAUGUCAAAUGUUCAGCGCUAAAACCAAGAAAGCCCCAGGCACACCCAAUGGGUGAGCCGCUCCAUUCCUCUAGUUCUUUGAAAAUGCACAAAAGUUUCACGUGUUCUUUACCCUGGGAGUUUUUCUGUGAACAGCUCUCCCAGCUCUCCCAGAGCUGCUCGAGGUGGGGGAGGUGAGGGAUGGGCCACGUGUCCCAGGGCAUCUACCUCCCGCACUGGAGAUGUCCUCAGCUUUAUCUGCAAGUAACCAGGCUGCUGCAGGCUACGGGGCGGGGCUCUUCUGGUGCCUUGGGUCUUUGCUACUCUGUCUCUUCCCUAUUGACACUUCAGCUCCCAUUCCCACAGGGCCUGUGGUUGUCAGCCAGUGAGUGGAGCCCACAGACAAGCCUCCACAGGAACUUGCUCUCCGUAUGCUGUUAACUGAUAAAAAGACUGUUGUCCAGGGCAAAAAGUGACUUCUUUCAAGGGUUUGGAGGUUUCCAAAGGGCAAUCUUAGAGAUCAAGAAACCAAACUCAAGGCCGGCGCUGCGGCUCACUAGGCUAAUCCUCCGCCUUGCGGCGCCGGCACACCGGGUUCUAGUCCCGGUCGGGGCGCCGGAUUGUGUCCCGGUUGCCCCUCUUCCAGGCCAGCUCUCUGCUGUGGCCAGGGAGUGCAGUGGAGGAUGGCCCAAGUGCUUGGGCCCUGCACCCCAUGGGAGACCAGGAGAAGUACCUGGCUCCUGCCAUCGGAUCAGCGCGGUGCGCCGGCCGCAGCGCGCCGGCCGCGGCGGCCAUUGGAGGGUGAACCAAUGGCAAAAGGAAGACCUUUCUCUCUGUCUCUCUCUCACCGUCCACUC